ACAUCAGCACAGCCCAAAAGAACUUGUCCUGCUGGCCAGCACUGACUGUUUGCUCUCUUCCCAGCACACGCAUCAACUUCCACCAACAAAUAACCGGAGCAGCACUUCAUUUAAAUAAAAAAACCAGCCUCCUCCAUUACUGAAUGUUUGAUAGAAGAGGAAAGAAGCAAGUUCUUGUAUGCUAAUGUGCUCAUCAAGUAUUUGCUCCUAAUUUAUCACUUGCUUUGAGGUCUCUCUUGACAACUUGACUAUUCUGGAAAAUGUCAGCUUGCAGGGUACCACACAGGCUGAUGUGACUGUGAGAGUUGUAGGAAGAAGCCAGUGCCUCUGCUUGACAUAGGAGAGCUGCCAGCUAUGACAUCUUCCCGAGGAUCAACAGCCCGGGGAGCAGGAAUAACCAACAGCUGGACCCAUUUGGGCCUUUCCUGAAAAAAAAAUAAUACUAAGAUUAAUAAACAAAACACAGGGCAGAAAGCACCAUACUGGGGAUGCUUGGGGAAGGGCAGGGUGCAGCACUGGCCUCCUGCGCUUGCCCUCCUGAACAGGCCAUUUGUCACCCCUGAGGAAGGCAGGUCCCUCCAAGGACAGGGCGGUUACUGGUGGCACUGGGGACAGCGGCAGGAGCAGUGGCAAUAAAGAUGGGGGAUAGAAAUCCCCUCUGGGUGCAGGGGAGCUGAAACUCAGCGGUCACCCGUGCUGCAGCUGAGGUGCCGAGCUCAGAGGGCAACCAGCAAGCCCUACCUGGCUGCAGCCCUGAAACGGUAUGUCCCGGCAUUUGUUUUUAUCAGUAACAGCACUCUCCAUGCUGUAAUUACAGCCAAUCGCCCAGGAAAAUCAGCAGAAAGUCUAACCCCUCCAGCAGUACGACUGCAACAAAACCCAGGUAUGUGGCUGGCACACCCCGCCGCUGCCUCCUGAGGUCCCGGCACAGGGCUGAACUCCUGGCCAUCUCGUUAUAGUGGCAAUGGCUGGCUUUUUCUGGAGACCCCAGCACGCGCCCAUCCAGAUCCCAUCAGUAAAUGCUGAGAGCACAGUCAGGGUGAUAACUAAAAGAGACGUGGCCAGGCUGGGAGUCUCCUGGGGACCCUCAGGGCUUGGGUGCAGCUGCAGCAUCGUGAGUGAGACUCUUCCCCUGGUCAUCGGAAACACCUCCGUGUCGUCACCUCCUUGGAAGCCUUGCUGGCGGCAUGCUGGGUACCAGGGCACUUGCUGAGGUGUCCCAAAACCCCGAUUUGUUCACUCACCACAUCCUGCGGUGAGGAAAGCCUUAUUGAUCCUGGUUAUCUCAAAAUUGUCCACCACACCAGCCAGUAUGACGUGAGAUUCAGACAAAAGCACCAAAGCACAGUGGAAAAAAAUAGCCAGGACUCAUUUCUGAAGGGUGGAGGUGGAGACCCCCCUUCCUUAUCAGCUCACACUGGGAUGAAGCUGCAGAAGUUGCCCUGGACACCACCAACAAGUGCUGGCUCUCCUAUGUGGUCGGUGGUGAAGGGCCUGCCAUCCUUCCAUGGCUCUUACACCCCCCAGGGAAUCCUGGAAAGAAGAUCUGCCUUCCCGGUGGACUGGGGUAGUUUCAGAGCCUGCCUGCCCCUUCACAUCCACUAAGAGGGCCUGGCAGCAUUUACCUGUUUUCCCAGGAACUACUUGAUUUCUUUCUUUUUCAGGGGAUGGGCUCAUAGCUCUUAGCUGAAUUAAGCCCCUCUUCACCUCUCUGGGGCUCGUCUGUCGGAUGAGCGCUCACAUACCCUCCUUCACAAACCCCUGUCCAAUCCUCCUCCCUCCUCUCAGGUUUGAGUGGGAAUCGCCCUUUCCUGGAAGCAUUGCACUAUAGCCCCUGGCACGUUACUGUACCUGAAAUGAAAUUUCAACACAAUCAAUGUGUGCUCCCGAUUGAGGUAAUUCACCGUGAGAGCGGGUAGGGGGUCCUGACGCCAGUAUUUCUCCUCUAGGCAGAGCUUAAUACAAAUUUCAAGAGCAGCAGAUUCAUGAGAGAGUCCUGGAGAGGCAGCAUUUCUCUGUCUCCAGCUGGUGCACAGACACCCCAGUAUGCUGCAUGCUAAGACAUCUCCUGCCAUAUUUGUAAAUAAUACUAAUUACUCUGAGCUCCUUCAGAAGCACUGGAAUUAGAAGAAAUAAUGAGUAAACUCCAGAGCCGUCCUUCUGAGUUGGAAGCCUGGGUUAAGCAGCUGAUGUUACCGAGCACAGAAAACUCAGCAGCUGCAGCAGUGCCACAAAGCCCCGAAGACGAAAUGCAGCCGGCGGGCCAGAGCUGGCAGCCCUCACCUGGGCUCAGGCCUCCCUGAAACUCCUCAACAGUAGAGGAGGACAUCAAAAGGCUCAGUUCUGAGCUCACCUGCGGAGUUCAGAUGAAAAGGCUUUUCCUUGUGAAGAGGCAGCAGGAAGUGGAGGCUCCUGGGGAGGCUGCGGGAUGAGCUGCCCUGGGGCUGACAGCAGCCCCAACUUUGCACCCAUCGGAAGCGGCUCACGUGGAUGUGGGCUCCAGAGCUGAGCUGUCAGGUCAGGAGUUUCACGGGAGCCAAACAUCAAUGAAAUCCACGAAUCAAUGUGGAGGAUGCAAUCAGUCCCUUGCGAAGCUGCAAAGAGGCCAGCAGCAGCUAAGGCUGCCAUGCUGAACGCAGGAGGCUCCGUUUCUGCUGUCAUCAGGCUGUGUAAUUUUUACACAUUGUUUGGUGCUGCUUUUUUUCUUCAUCAUAGAGAGAAAAAAUAAAUAAAUUUCAAAGGACAUGAUAAAGGGCAAAGACCCUUCUUUUUUUUGGUAUAAAAUAUAUAUUUUGCAGUAUUAAAUGAAACCUAAUGCUUAUGGCAAA